rnacentral:rRNA from 1 species
CCAGAGAACUUAGCAGAGAUGCUUUGGUGCCUUCGGGAACUCUGAGACAGGUGCUGCAUGGCUGUCGUCAGCUCGUGUUGUGAAAUGUUGGGUUAAGUCCCGCAACGAGCGCAACCCUUAUCCUUUGUUGCCAGCGGUUCGGCCGGGAACUCAAAGGAGACUGCCGGUGAUAAACCGGAGGAAGGUGGGGAUGACGUCAAGUCAUCAUGGCCCUUACAGCCAGGGCUACACACGUGCUACAAUGGCGCAUACAAAGAGAAGCGACCUCGCGAGAGCAAGCGGACCUCAUAAAGUGCGUCGUAGUCCGGAUUGGAGUCUGCAACUCGACUCCAUGAAGUCGGAAUCGCUAGUAAUCGUAGAUCAGAAUGCUACGGUGAAUACGUUCCCGGGCCUUGUACACACCGCCCGUCACACCAUGGGAGUGGGUUGCAAAAGAAGUAGGUAGCUUAACCUUCGGGAGGGCGCUUACCACUUUGUGAUUCAUGACUGGGGUGAAGUCGUAACAAGGUAAGCGUAGCGAG